GCGGGUGUAGCUCAAUGGCCAGAGCCCCUGCCUUCCAAGCAGGCGAUGCGGGUUCGAUUCCCGUCACCCGCU
rnacentral:tRNA from 1 species